GUCCACGCCCUAAACGAUGUCGACUAGGUGUUGGGGAAGGAGACUUCCUUAGUACCGCAGCUAACGCGUGAAGUCGACCGCCUGGGGAGUACGGUCGCAAGAUUAAAACUCAAAGGAAUUGACUGGGACCCGCACAAGCGGUGGAUGAUGUGGAUUAAUUCGAUGCAACGCGAAAACCUUACCUACCCUUGACAUGUCAGGAAGUCCGCCGAGAGGUGGAUGUGCCCUAAAGGGAACCUGAACACAGGUGCUGCAUGGCUGUCGU
rnacentral:rRNA from 1 species